UACGGGGGGAGCAAGCGUUGUUCGGAUUUACUGGGCGUAAAGGGUGCGUAGGCGGGUCUUUAAGUCAGGGGUGAAAUCCUGGAGCUCAACUCCAGAACUGCCUUUGAUACUGAAGAUCUUGAGUUCGGGAGAGGUGAGUGGAACUGCGAGUGUAGAGGUGAAAUUCGUAGAUAUUCGCAAGAACACCAAGUGGCGGAAGGCGGACUCACUGGCCCGGUAC
rnacentral:rRNA from 1 species